ACUACCAAAUUUAUUUUAAAAAAGGUCUAAUAAACAGUGUUCGUUAUUCAUCUUGAAUCUCGGUUUAUAAAGUGUUUUAAAAUGAUCAAUCAUGAGAUGGUUGUGGGUAUUUGCGUAUUUACGUUACGUUUACCUGACCCCGAAUUAUUGAGAAUCCAUUUAAGGAUGGAGACGCUACAAGGAUCAAGACGGACAAUGCACAUGGUUCAGUUUUUAUUUAACAUAAUUAGAAUCAAAUAAAACUCUUACAAUUGGUUUGUAAACUUCUGGGCGUAUAGAUGUAUUGCACGUGUGGCCUUGUGGUUUGAAUUAAGUGACAUCAAACUAUAAAAAUGAUAAAAUUAGACGUCGCACGUCGAGAUAUGAGUUAUUAAAAAAAUAAAAACACUAUUUCCUUUAUAGUAUUUUAUACAAAUUCACAAGAAGAUCGUAUCAUCUGAAAUACCUAAAGAAAAACAAGAAAACACCUAUUACAAUAUCUAUCGUAUAUGGUACAGGAAAUUAAAGCAAUAUUGUAAAAAAAAUGUCUAUGAAGUUAGUCCUCAACGUUGGACAUGUAUCAAUAUUUUAUUUUAUUUACGAAGUAUCUAUAGAACUGAAUUCGUUUUUCACUGAAACAGGUUCUGGAGCUCAGAAAAGUGUUUUCCGAAUGUGAUGAUUAGUAUAAAAUAUUUACA